UUAUUUUCUUAUUUCAUUUAAUAUUACUUCAAUUUUCAUCUUAUUCUUACAUAUUUUUAUUUUAACUUCUACUACGUAUAUUAACGCAUGCGCAUAACGUUCAAAGUACAUGAUCGCCUAUAUCUAUCGUAUCGUUUGUCUCACUUUCUUGGCAUCACUACCGCUUAUGGGAGAGAUGUGUGAAUAGCAAUAUAGUAGUAUUACAUAUAUGGGUUUACUUCGGAUCAGCGCUGUUCUUGUCCAAAUCCUUAUUAUUUGAAUCUGUUUCCUUUGGAGAUUUUAUUCUCGGGACCGAAGAUUUAGAUGGAUCUGUUUUGAAAACAGCCAGGUCGAGCGUGCCUGGAUUAUAACUUUUCAACAGACGUCUAAAUUGAAUCCGCCGUCCGGCUCUUCUUGUUCUUUUCGGCAUGAGAGAUUUUUAGCACAACACUCUUAAAGUAAGGAAGAGGAGAACUGUGCUCGUGGUUCAAGCACGGCGUUCUGGAAAAAGAAUGAAGAUGAUAAGAGGGAAGAGAGGCUCAAGACCCCUUGGCAAUCGGCUAACAAGAGGCUCAGCGAAAGAUUGUCUGAUGGCUAGUUGGAGG